UCUUGGUCUCUAAUUCUCUUAGGGUCAUGUCUGGCUGUACGCCUUGUUCAGCUGGACUCUGAUAUGGGGAUUGUUCUCUUGGUUGGAUUUUGGACAUGCAUUGUUGCUGAAAGCUUGCCUUAUGAUCUGCACUCUUGGUUGAAGUUGGCUGUUGUCCUUGGACCUGCCCUACUUGCUGUGCUUAGGGUCCUUGUCUUGCCCUCCCUUCAGCCACGAGCACUCAGGAUUGAAUAUUGAAUAUUUCUGCUGGCACUGGCUACUGCAGGGUGACGUGAGGAGGAAGAAAGGAGAUGACCUCUCUGACUCCAGUCUUAGAAUAGCCUGUAUCCACUGCCUUUGUAUAGACCACCCAGUGCAGCUGGUAUUUCAAAGGGCUGUGAGCCACUGGAGAGCUAAAACAAUGAAUUUCUACAAUCUGAGCUGGUGAGUCUUAAGAGUUUUCUGUUGUCUGUGGCUCAGAUGAGGUUGUGUAAUAUAAACAUAGUAGUGACUUAUCUAGUAUUUCCAUACGUGAGAAAGGUUUAGAUACCGACACUCUCAUGGGUUUUAUGAGAGUACAGCUAAUUUCUUCUUGCGGCUGCAAUGCAAAUGAGAUGGUUCUCUUCCAGUUACAUAUUUUAUCCAAAUAAUUG